rnacentral:rRNA from 1 species
GAUGAACGCUGGCGGCGUGCCUAAUACAUGCAAGUCGAGCGAACAGACGAGGAGCUUGCUCCUUUGACGUUAGCGGCGGACGGGUGAGUAACACGUAGGUAACCUACCUAUAAGACUGGGAUAACUUCGGGAAACCGGAGCUAAUACCGGAUAAUAUUUCGAACCGCAUGGUUCGAUAGUGAAAGAUGGCUUUGCUAUCACUUAUAGAUGGACCUGCGCCGUAUUAGCUAGUUGGUAAGGUAACGGCUUACCAAGGCAACGAUACGUAGCCGACCUGAGAGGGUGAUCGGCCACACUGGAACUGAGUCACGGUCCAGACUCCUACGGGAGGCAGCAGUAGGGAAUCUUCCGCAAUGGGCGAAAGCCUGACGGAGCAACGCCGCGUGAGUGAUGAAGGUCUUCGGAUCGUAAAACUCUGUUAUUAGGGAAGAACAAACGUGUAAGUAACUGUGCACGUCUUGACGGUACCUAAUCAGAAAGCCACGGCUAACUACGUG